GGCACCCAGAUGCGGUUACAUGUAGGCAAGGAUUCUCACACCAUGGAUGAGUGCGGGUAAAGAAGUUAGUCCAAAACGUAGGAUUAGAUUAGCAUCUUGGAACAUAGGAUCUUUAACGAGUAAGAGUUUAGAAUUGAUAGAUGUUAUGAGGAGAAGAAGUAUUAGCAUAGCUUGUAUUCAAGAGACAAGAUGGAAGG